GCCUCCAGAAACACCAUGACUGGUGUACCUUUGGUUGCCCCAGAAAGCGUGUCCCAUCCACGCAAGAGAGCCUUUCCGUGCAGGCAGAACGGGCGCGGCUAUGGAAAUAUGCUAGAGCACAGAUAGAGAGCGACACUGACUCAGAAAUCAGGUCAAAUGAGGAUACUGACUCUGAGGUGGAUGCCGCUGAUGCUGGUCUUGUCCUCCUUUCCUCUGCUCAGGCAGAGAUGCCCGG